rnacentral:sRNA from 1 species
GGAGACUGGUGAGCACCGUUCUGUCUUGCCCAGAAGACCCCGCAGUGCGAGGCCGCCUGACCGAGUGCCUGGAGACCAUCCUGAACAAAGCCCAAGAACCGCCCAAGUCGAAGAAGGUCCAGCAUUCCAACGCCAAGAACGCCGUGCUCUUCGAGGCCAUCAGCUUAAUCAUUCACCAUGACAGUGAGCCGAACCUGCUUGUCCGCGCCUGCAACCAGUUGGGCCAGUUCCUGCAGCACCGCGAGA